UACGGGGGAGCAAGCGUUGUUCGGAUUUACUGGGCGUAAAGGGCGCGUAGGCGGUCAGCACAAGUCAGUUGUGAAAUCUCCGAGCUUAACUCGGAAAGGUCAACUGAUACUGUGCGACUAGAGUGCAGAAGGGGCAACUGGAAUUCUCGGUGUAGCGGUGAAAUGCGUAGAUAUCGAGAGGAACACCUGCGGCGAAGGCGGGGUCUCUGGGCCGAUACUGACGUGAGGAGCGAAAGCAUGGGGUAGCGAACAGG
rnacentral:rRNA from 1 species